GAUAUGCCCCCUCCGUCAGGAAGUACUCAUUGGAAAAAUGGAUGUAUCUAGACAUAUUUUAGUUCUAGAUACAUCCAAUUUUAUCGAUUUCUUUGACAAGUAAUUUCGGAUGGAGGAAGUAUAUU
rnacentral:pre_miRNA from 1 species